GGAGCAAUGAUCUCUGGAUGCAUGUAUCAAAGCCUCCAGAGAAGCCUUACAUCAAGCAAAUCUUUGAGAAUUUUUCGCAUGUCUCCAAGGAAAUGGGCAUUUCAGUCGCACAGAACAUUAAUGUGUCAAAUUCUAGAGUGUGUUCUUGCCUUUUGAAGGAUUGUAUACCAUCAUUAGGUUUGAAUCCGAUUAGGAUUUCAGAUAAUCUGUCUUACAUGGACCUACUGUCAGUAGUAGCACAAUGGCAUUAUCAUAUCAUGUGCUGCCCAGCGUGACAAACUAGCGGAGCGGUUCCCAGCCGAGCAC